rnacentral:rRNA from 1 species
UACGUAGGGACCAAGCGUUGUUCGGAUUUACUGGGCGUAAAGGGCGCGUAGGCGGCAAUUCAAGUCAUCUGUGAAAUCUCCGGGCUUAACUCGGAACGGUCAGAUGAUACUGCUUUGCUAGAGUGCGGAAGGGGCAAUCGGCAUUCUUGGUGUAGCGGUGAAAUGCGUAGAUAUCGGAAAGAACACCAACGGCGAAAGCACUCUGCUGGGCCGACACUGACACUGAGAGACGAAAGCUAGGGGAGCGAAUGGG